GAAUUUAUGAACAUGUUUAGUCGCGCCCCUAGUUAGAUAAAUAAUUUUAAAUUUUCGACUAUUAUUCUUGCAAAUAAAAACUCUUAUACUCAAAGAUUGGGCCAUAAAAAUAUAUUAGCAAUAAUCUCUAUAAUGGGCCUUAUGUAUUUAUUUAUGUUUCAUUGGGCUUGGUUUGAAUUAGAGCCCGUAAAAGCUUUUGUUCCUCAGCCACGAUUUCAUUUUUGUUCCUCAGCCACAUGUUUUUUUUAAAUCCUUGAAGAGCACGCAUCAUUUUUUACUUAAUAGUCUUAUGCAUCAUGAAAUUCAUUCCAUUUAAAGUUUAUCUACUCGACUCCACCGCCUCAUUUCAGUUUAUUAAACUCUUUUCAUUUUCUGAAAACACCACCAAAACCCAGCAAUCAACUUCUUGUUCUGCUUCUUUCGAUUCAAGUGGUGCGGCGCGACUAGGACGUUACUUUUGUUUGAAUUUCUCAAAGUUAGCUUUCAAGUUGAAGUUCAAGUUACAGGUGUGGGAUUGAUUUCAGUACAUGCUGUGGUUAAUCUUUGUCCAUUUUAAUAUUAUGUGUUUACCAUAUGUGAGUUGCAUUAAAUUAUAUCGCUAGGGGCCCGCUCAAUGGGUCCAGGACAUUAAAGUCCUUGGUAUGCCACAAUGCGAUUUCAUGUUAAAGUUAUGGUUGCAACCAGUCGCCAGGGGCCGGCUCAAUCGGUCCAGGACGGAAAGGUCCUUGGUAUGCCACAGUGCGACUUUCAGUUACGAAUGUAUUGAUCAUAUGUGAUUCUCAUUUUAUUAACGUGGACAAUGAUUGCAUGUUCCCACACUGAGUGUACCCUGUAUGCUCAUCCCAUAUUUAACAUUUUCAGGUUUUAAAGACCGGAGGCGCGUGGAAGGUCGAAUGGCGAGUCAAAUAUUUUGAAUUUAG